CCUGCAGAGCCUGCUCACACUGACGGACUUCAUCAAACACGUCAGCAGCCAGGAGGAGGUGUGGUGUUCAUUGCGUGAGGCUAAACUGAUCAGAAAACUUAUAGACAUCUUGAGGUGCCACAGAUCCAUGGACUCCAGCCUCAAACUCAAGGCGCUCUAUUCAUUCAAGAGGGCAGUCUCUAAACGGGCUCCAGAGUUCAAGGAUCAUCACCAGAAAGACGCUCAUGAAUUCCUGACAACCAUCCUGGAUCAAAUCAGGAGUUCCCCCCUACUGCAGGGAGUAGCUGCCUGUGAGGACAAAAGCUACACAUGCCCUGUUGAGGACCACCUUCAGAAUGCAGAACACUAGGACCUGUAAAAGUUGUGGUGCCCAGUCUACCAGGCAGGAAGACUUCAGCAGCCUGCCUCUGAAUCUUGCACCUGGAGGUUCAGUCCAGCAGAUGCUCCAGGAUUACCUAAUGGUAAGAUCCAACUAUGCCCCUUCAAUGACAGCACAACAUGGCCAAAUCAAAUUGUUAUCAGCAGAAUCCAUUAGAUUUCUGAAGACCAGUCCCAAAACAUGCAUGGCAUGACAUUCAUGCAUUUUCACUGUAGUUUACAGUGAGUAGUUUAUAAUUUAUAAUUAUUGAAUACCAGAAUUCUCGGAUCACCACACAAUGGCCAUUAUGGAAGAUUUUGGCAUCUAACAAUUCCAAAUUGGUACAGUAAAGAGGCAUGAAUGCUGCCCAACUGUGUCAGCCUUUCCACAAGGUCCCCAUGUCAUGAACACAUGGGGACCUGGUCUUCAAGGAUGGCAGUGGUUAAUUAUUUUUCUUAAGAGUAACUACUAGAGCUGAAGCACUAAGUGCUGAUUUAGAGUGUAGAAUAUGGUUAAUGUUCUAAUUUUUAGUUGUAAGUGGUGCCUACUCUGCUUAAAACUGAUUGCUGAAGUGAACUCACAUGUUUACUGUGCAGAGCUGAGCACUAAUGAUGUAAAGUAUAAAUACUGUUGUUAGUGUUCUAAAUUUCAUUGUGAUGAUUGUGCUAAGUCUUAUUAAAACCGAUGACUACACAGAACACUGAGCUGAGUCUAUUUUUUUAAAUUCUAUUUUAC